CAAUGCUCUCGUUUUAGCCCAGGGACACCCAUUUUGGGCUCCAGACUUCCAGAACUGUAAGGUCUGAGGAGGCCCCAAGGGAGGGAGCAGGAACCAGAACCAGGUUAUGGCAUGGAGACGGCUGCCUUACGAAUGCUGUGGCCUUUGGUAGAAGAUGCAGAUGACCCAGCAACCCAGCGAGGACAACACAGGGGAGUAAAUGCCCUGACCGCUCUCUCUCCCUGUCCUGGGAGCACUUUCUCGUGUCCCCCAUUGGCUGAGUCCAACCUGACGUCAGAGAGCAAGGCUGCCUGUUGAUGCAGCCCACACACAUCAGCCUCACAGGACACAGAGGGUGGAGAAGGGGAGAGAAGAUAUCUAGCCACCUAACAAAUGAAAUUUCUUUAGCUUAAGUCAGUCAGUGACCCCAUUCUGGCAAAAGAGAUUUGAGGGAAGAUCUGCUAGGGAGUUUCUGGGGAAAGGGUCUUUAGUUUUAGGAAAGAGACACAGGAAAGAUGUGUUCUUUAUUGUGUCUGAUGUGACGCCUGGAACUGCAGCAGCCAUCUUGCAAGCAUGAGGGAAGCCAGCAAAGCAAAACUGACCCACUGAGGAUGGAAAAGCAGAGUUGGAAAGAAGCAGAUCCUCAGUGACUUUGUGGGACUGCUCUGAGAACCUGUUCUACCUCUGAGGUUCUUUUUAUCAUGAAAUAACAAAGGUGCUUAUUGGUUGAGUCACUUUCGAGUUGGAUUUCCAGUUACUUGAGGUCUGAAGCUAAUGGACACAGCUGCCAUCCACCAUUGUCACCCCAUAUGCGAGCAUUCUUGGCUCCCACAGACUGCAGGCCAAGCCCUCCUGGUUUCCUCUGCUGACCGUGGGCUUGCACUGACCACGUCAGAUUCAGGGCAGAGUUUCAAAUGCCUUUUUAGUUUGUGACAAAAGAGAGUCAGAAGUGGGAGAUGGGUUCUUAUUGCGAUGCUUCCCUACAGAUGGCUUCUGGCGGUGGCACUGACCACAGCAGAGUGACUCCCAUGGAGGCAGGUGAUCUAGGGUAGCGGUGGGGGCACAGGCCUUGCAGGUUGUCAGAACUGGCUUCAAGUCUAGGUCAGCUGCUUCCCAACUGUGUGACUUUGGGCAAGUUAGUUACCUUCUCUGAGCCCUUAGUUUUCUCACUGCAGAUGGUAAGAGUUGAAUUAGAUAAAUGUAAAAACAAACAAACCCUGAUAUUAAUCCUAGUCCUGAGAGGCUGCCCUUAAGGACGUUAUCCCCCUCUCUCCCUAUUCCUUUCCGCUGCUGGGUUGGAUGUGAGGGGGGUUGGGAAGGGUCCAAACGGAUACGGGGCAAGAGCAACAACUCAGUUAAAGGAAGGUUGUGAGCACCCAGAUUGCAGUGACUUGACUCGCCUCAUAGAAUCCCCUCUGUUGUUUGAUGUAUGAAUAUAUGAAUGAAUGAAAGAGUAAAUAAGAAAAAAGAAUGAGAAAGAGGGCAAGACAGAUGGGGAAACUUCACCCACAGAGAAACAGGCUGAAGGAGGGCUUGGUAAAAUCCAGUGAUGAGUGUCCAUGGUGCAAAUGGCAGAUGAGUCAGGAGAGGCGAGGCAAUGCUGUGGGAGCAAACGUGCCCGAAACCCAGUGGCUUUACAACACCCAUGAUUAUUUCUGGUUUAUGCACUGCAUGGGGGGUUUACCAGGGUGCUCUGAUCUUCAAGUCACUCAAAGGUCCAGCUGAAGGAAGCUCCACGGUGCCAUAGUGACAGCAGCAUGGAGUGGAGUCUGGCAGACCCCACCCUGGGUCUGCAAUCACCUGCCCAGAAGUGCUUCCCAUGACUUCUGCCCAUGUCUCAUGGGCCAAAACCAGCCACGUGGCCACACGAGUUCAGCGGGUGGAGAAGCACAAUCUUACGAUGUUCCCAGAAAAGCAAGGACAGGCUGUGUCAACAGUCCUGAUAGCUACCAUCAGCGGCGCAGGCCAGAGCGGGGCUUGGGGUGAAUGCAGCUCAGACAUGGUUUGUUUGGCCUGUUCGGUAUUUUAAAUAUUUUUAUAAGGUUUCUCAUAUUUAUGACAUCAAGAUACGUCCUAUUCGAAUCUGCAUA
ensembl:lncRNA